CUCGUAGGCGGCCAACUAAGUCAGACGUGAAAUCCCUCGGCUUAACCGGGGAACUGCGUCUGAUACUGGAUGGCUUGAGAUUGGGAGAAGGGAUGCGGAAUUCCAGGUGUAGCGGUGAAAUGCGUAGAUAUCUGGAGGAACACCGGUGGCGAAGGCGGCAUCCUGGACCAACACUGACGCUGAAUAGCGAAAGCCAGGGAGCAAACG
rnacentral:rRNA from 1 species